AUUCUCCUGCCUCAGCCUCCCGUGGAUACGUCAUGGGAAUUUUGUUGAUGGCUCUAGUUUAUUCCCUCCCAAAAGACCAAGAGCAACCAGAUGGAGUGAAGUUAACUUCAGGAUUUUAUUGUCUUCAUAAUAAAAUAAAAGAUGACAUUUAGAACUGUA